UACAGAGGUGGCAAGCGUUGUUCGGAAUUACUGGGCGUAAAGCGCGCGCAGGUGGUUUCUUAAGUCUGAUGUGAGAGCCCACGGCUCAACCGUGGAGGGUCAUUGGAAACUGGGGAACUUGAGUGCAGAAGAGGAAAGUGGAAUUCCAAGUGUAGCGGUGAAAUGCGUAGAGAUUUGGAGGAACACCAGUGGCGAAGGCGACUUUCUGGUCUGUAACUGACACUGAGGCGCGAAAGCGUGGGGAGCGAACAGG
rnacentral:rRNA from 1 species